AUGAAUAAACCUGUGUGGGUUGUUGCUGACCUCCUUGGGGGUAUGUGCACACCUGCCAUCGUUUCAUUCACUCUUCCACCUGUGCACUUUCUGUAGGCUGCACUGUCAUUUUUUCGGGCUCAGGUAGUCCGGCAUGGGGAAUUGCCUUCUGGCCUUCCUUGGAUGGCUGUGGUCUAUGUCUUUAUCAACUCGUAUGUAAUUGAGUGUAUGAAUUGGGCUUUUAUUGCCUAUAAAACCUUAUA
rnacentral:misc_RNA from 1 species